rnacentral:rRNA from 1 species
UGGGGAAUAUUGCGCAAUGGGGGAAACCCUGACGCAGCAACGCCGCGUGAGCGAUGAAGGCCUUCGGGUCGUAAAGCUCUGUCUUUUGGGACGCGGUACCAAAGGAGGAAGCCACGGCUAACUACGUGCCAGCAGCCGCGGUAAUACGUAGGUGGCGAGCGUUGUCCGGAAUUACUGGGCGUAAAGGGUGCGUAGGCGGAAGCUUAAGUCAGAUGUGAAAUACUAAGGCUCAACCUUAGAAUGGCAUUUGGAACUGGGUCUAGAGUGCAGGAGAGGAAAGCGGAAUUCCUAGUGUAGCGGUGAAAUGCGUGGAAUUAGGAAGAACACCAGUGGCGAAGGCGGCUUUCUGGACUGUAACUGACGCUGAGGCACGGAAGCGUGGGGAGCAAACAGGAUUAGAUACCCCGGUAGU